rnacentral:rRNA from 1 species
UGGGGAAUAUUGCACAAUGGGCGCAAGCCUGAUGCAGCCAUGCCGCGUGUAUGAAGAAGGCCUUCGGGUUGUAAAGUACUUUCAGCGGGGAGGAAGGUGUUGAGGUUAAUAACCUCAGCAAUUGACGUUACCCGCAGAAGAAGCACCGGCUAACUCCGUGCCAGCAGCCGCGGUAAUACGGAGGGUGCAAGCGUUAAUCGGAAUUACUGGGCGUAAAGCGCACGCAGGCGGUCUGUCAAGUCGGAUGUGAAAUCCCCGGGCUCAACCUGGGAACUGCAAUCGAAACUGGCAGGCUAGAGUCUUGUAGAGGGGGGUAGAAUUCCAGGUGUAGCGGUGAAAUGCGUAGAGAUCUGGAGGAAUACCGGUGGCGAAGGCGGCCCCCUGGACAAAGACUGACGCUCAGGUGCGAAAGCGUGGGGAGCAAACA